rnacentral:rRNA from 1 species
CCUACGGGAGGCUGCAGUGGGGAAUAUUGCACAAUGGGCGCAAGCCUGAUGCAGCCAUGCCGCGUGUGUGAAGAAGGCCUUCGGGUUGUAAAGCACUUUCAGCGGGGAGGAAGGCGGUGAGGUUAAUAACCUCAUCGAUUGACGUUACCCGCAGAAGAAGCACCGGCUAACUCCGUGCCAGCAGCCGCGGUAAUACGGAGGGUGCAAGCGUUAAUCGGAAUUACUGGGCGUAGAGCGCACGCAGGCGGUCUGUCAAGUCGGAUGUGAAAUCCCCGGGCUCAACCCGGGAACUGCAUUCGAAACUGGCAGGCUAGAGCCUUGUAGAGGGGGGUAGAAUGCCAGGUGUAGCGGUGAAAUGCGUAGAGAUCUGGAGGAAUACCGGUGGCGAAGGCGGCCCCCUGGACAAAGACUGACGCUCAGGUGCGAAAGCGUGGGGAGCAAACAGGAUUAGAUACCCGGGUAGUC